rnacentral:rRNA from 1 species
GACGAACGCUGGCGGCGUGCCUAAUACAUGCAAGUCGAACGAGAGCGACCGGUGCUUGCACUGGUCAAUCUAGUGGCGAACGGGUGAGUAACACGUGGGUAACCUGCCCAUCAGAGGGGGAUAACAUCCGGAAACGGAUGCUAAAACCGCAUAGGUCUUCGAGCCGCAUGGCUUGAAGAGGAAAAGAGGCGCAAGCUUCUGCUGAUGGAUGGACCCGCGGUGCAUUAGCUAGUUGGUGAGGUAACGGCUCACCAAGGCCGUGAUGCAUAGCCGACCUGAGAGGGUGAUCGGCCACAUUGGAACUGAGACACGGCCCAAACUCCUACGGGAGGCAGCAGUAGGGAAUCUUCCGCAAUGGACGCAAGUCUGACGGAGCAACGCCGCGUGAGUGAAGAAGGUUUUCGGAUCGUAAAACUCUGUUGUUAGAGAAGAACAAGUGCUAGAGUAACUGUUAGCGCCUUGACGGUAUCUAACCAGAAAGCCACGGCUAACUACGUG